AGUGAACGCUGGCGGUAGGCCUAACACAUGCAAGUCGAACGGCAGCACAGUAAGAGCUUGCUCUUACGGGUGGCGAGUGGCGGACGGGUGAGGAAUACAUCGGAAUCUACUUUUUCGUGGGGGAUAACGUAGGGAAACUUACGCUAAUACCGCAUAUGACCUACGGGUGAAAGCAGGGGAUCUUCGGACCUUGCGCGAUUGAAUGAGCCGAUGUCGGAUUAGCUAGUUGGCGGGGUAAAGGCCCACCAAGGCGACGAUCCGUAGCUGGUCUGAGAGGAUGAUCAGCCACACUGGAACUGAGACACGGUCCAGACUCCUACGGGAGGCAGCAGUGGGGAAUAUUGGACAAUGGGCGCAAGCCUGAUCCAGCCAUGCCGCGUGAGUGAAGAAGGCCUUCGGGUUGUAAAGCCCUUUUGUUGGGAAAGAAAAACAGCAGGUUAAUACCCCGCUGUUCUGACGGUACCCAAAGAAUAAGCACCGGCUAACUUCGUG
rnacentral:rRNA from 1 species